rnacentral:rRNA from 1 species
CUACGGGCGGCUCCAGUGGGGAAUAUUGGACAAUGGGCGCAAGCCUGAUCCAGCCAUGCCGCGUGAGUGAUGAAGGCCUUAGGGUUGUAAAGCUCUUUCGCUAGGGAAGAUAAUGACGGUACCUAGAGAAGAAGCCCCGGCUAACUUCGUGCCAGCAGCCGCGGUAAUACGAAGGGGGCUAGCGUUGUUCGGAAUUACUGGGCGUAAAGCGCACGUAGGCGGACUAUUAAGUCAGGGGUGAAAUCCCAGGGCUCAACCCUGGAACUGCCUUUGAUACUGGUAGUCUUGAGUACGAGAGAGGUGAGUGGAAUUCCGAGUGUAGAGGUGAAAUUCGUAGAUAUUCGGAAGAACACCAGUGGCGAAGGCGGCUCACUGGCUCGUAACUGACGCUGAGGUGCGAAAGCGUGGGGAGCAAACAGGAUUAGAUACCCCUGUAGUC